rnacentral:rRNA from 1 species
CGGUCAUACAAGAAACCCAAGUUAACAUACACGGCGUAAAGAGUGGGCUCAAACUAUCACACCAAACUAAGAUCAAACCCUGCCCAAGCCGUCAUAAGCUCAGGGCACCUCUAAACCCAACCUGAAGACGAUCUUAACACCCACGACCCAUUCCACCCCACUAAAGCCAGGGCACAAACUGGGAUUAGAUACCCCACUAUGCCUAGCCCUAAAUCUCGAUGCCUCCCAAACACAAACAUCCGCCCGAGAACUACGAGCACAAACGCUUAAAACUCUAAGGACUUGGCGGUGCUCUAAACCCACCUAGAGGAGCCUGUUCUAUAAUCGAUAACCCACGAUUCACCCGACCACUCCUUGCCAAAACAGCCUAUAUACCGCCGUCGCCAGCCCACCUCAUGAGAGCACAGCAGUGAGCUCAACAGCCCACAACCCGCUAACAAGACAGGUCGAGGUAUAGCCCAUGGAGUGGAAGAAAUGGGCUACAUUUUCUAAAAUAGAAAACCUAACGAAAAGGAGCUUGAAAUCCGCUCCCAGAAGGCGGAUUUAGCAGUAAAGCAGGAUGACCAAGCCUUCUUUAAGUCGGUCCUAGAGCACGUACACACCGCCCGUCACCCUCCUCACAGAGCCCCAAACAUACUAACUAAUAUGCUACACCACUGAAGACGAGGUAAUGUAUAUGUA